rnacentral:rRNA from 1 species
AUGCAAGUCGAGCGGACAUUUAGGAGCUUGCUCCUAAAUGUUAGCGGCGGACGGGUGAGUAACACGUGGGCAACCUGCCCUGUAGACUGGGAUAACAUCGAGAAAUCGGUGCUAAUACCGGAUAAUCUUGAGGAUCACAUGAUCCUCUUGUAAAAGAUGGCUCCGGCUAUCACUACGGGAUGGGCCCGCGGCGCAUUAGCUAGUUGGUAAGGUAACGGCUUACCAAGGCGACGAUGCGUAGCCGACCUGAGAGGGUGAUCGGCCACACUGGGACUGAGACACGGCCCAGACUCCUACGGGAGGCAGCAGUAGGGAAUCUUCCGCAAUGGACGAAAGUCUGACGGAGCAACGCCGCGUGAGUGAUGAAGGGUUUCGGCUCGUAAAGCUCUGUUGUUAGGGAAGAACAAGUGUCGUUCAAAUAGGGCGGCACCUUGACGGUACCUAACCAGAAAGCCACGGCUAACUACGUGCCAGCAGCCGCGGUAAUACGUAGGUGGCAAGCGUUGUCCGGAAUUAUUGGGCGUAAAGCGCGCGCAGGCGGUCUUUUAAGUCUGAUGUGAAAUCUCGGGGCUCAACCCCGAGCGGUCAUUGGAAACUGGGAGACUUGAGUA